rnacentral:rRNA from 1 species
UACAGAGGUCCCAAGCGUUGUUCGGAUUCACUGGGCGUAAAGGGUGCGUAGGCGGUCGGGUAAGUCUGAUGUGAAAUCUCACAGCUUAACUGUGAAACUGCAUUGGAUACUAUUCGGCUUGAGAGUUGGAGGGGGGACUGGAAUUCUUGGUGUAGCAGUGAAAUGCGUAGAUAUCAAGAGGAACACCAGUGGCGAAGGCGGCCUUCUGGACCAAUACUGACGCUCAUGCACGAAAGCGUGGGGAGCAAACAGG